GAUGAACGCUGGCGGCGUGCCUAAUACAUGCAAGUCGAGCGAACGGACGAGAAGCUUGCUUCUCUGAUGUUAGCGGCGGACGGGUGAGUAACACGUGGAUAACCUACCUAUAAUACUGGGAUAACUUCGGGAAACCGUAGCUAAUACCGGAUAAUAUUUUGAACCGCAUGGUUCAAAAGUGAAAGACGGUCUUGCUGUCACUUAUAGAUGGAUCCGCGCUGCAUUAGCUAGUUGGUAAGGUAACGGCUUACCAAGGCAACGAUGCAUAGCAGACCUGAGAGGGUGAUCGGCCACACUGGAAGAGAGACACGGUACAGACUCCUACGGGAGGCAGCAGUAGGGAACCGUCCGCAAUGGGCGAAAGCCUGACGGAGAAAAGCGGAGUGAGUGAUGAAGGUAUUCGGAUCGUAAAACUCUGUUAUUAGGGAAGAACAUAUGUGUAAGUAACUGUGCAGAUCGUGACGGUACCUAAUCAGAAAGCCACGGCUAACUACGUG
rnacentral:rRNA from 1 species